rnacentral:rRNA from 1 species
UACGUAGGCAGCAAGCGUUGUUCGGAGUUACUGGGCGUAAAGGGUGUGUAGGCGGUUGUUUUAGUUUGGUGUGAAAUCUCCCGGCUCAACUGGGAGGGUGCGCCGAAUACUGAAUGACUCGAGUGCGGGAGAGGAAAGUGGAAUUCCUGGUGUAGCGGUGAAAUGCGUAGAUAUCAGGAGGAACACCGGUGGUGUAGACGGCUUUCUGGACCGUAACUGACGCUGAGACACGAAAGCGUGGGUAGCAAACAGG